rnacentral:rRNA from 1 species
CGAACGCUGGCGGCGUGCUUAACACAUGCAAGUCGAACGAAGAGCGAUGGAAGCUUGCUUCUAUCAAUCUUAGUGGCGAACGGGUGAGUAACGCGUAAUCAACCUGCCCUUCAGAGGGGGACAACAGUUGGAAACGACUGCUAAUACCGCAUACGAUCUAACCUCGGCAUCGAGGAAAGAUGAAAGGUGGCCUCUAUGUAUAAGCUAUCACUGAAGGAGGGGAUUGCGUCUGAUUAGCUAGUUGGAGGGGUAACGGCCCACCAAGGCGAUGAUCAGUAGCCGGUCUGAGAGGAUGAACGGCCACAUUGGGACUGAGACACGGCCCAGACUCCUACGGGAGGCAGCAGUGGGGAAUCUUCCGCAAUGGACGAAAGUCUGACGGAGCAACGCCGCGUGAGUGAUGACGGCCUUCGGGUUGUAAAGCUCUGUUAAUCGGGACGAAAGGCCUUCUUGCGAAUAGUGAGAAGGAUUGACGGUACCGGAAUAGAAAGCCACGGCUAACUACGUG